rnacentral:rRNA from 1 species
UUCCGGUUGAUCCUGCCGGAGGUCACUGCUAUUGGGGUCCGACUAAGCCAUGCGAGUCAAUAGUUCUUCGUGAACUAGGCGGACGGCUCAGUAACACGUGGGUAAUCUACCCUCAGGACAGGGAUAACCCCGGGAAACUGGGGAUAAUACCUGAUAGGUGGAGAGGUCUGGAAUGAUCCUCCGCCCAAAGCUCCGGCGCCUGAGGAUGAGCCUGCGGCCGAUUAGGUUGUGGGCGGUGUAACGGACCACCAAGCCCGAGAUCGGUACGGGCACUGAGAGGUGGAGCCCGGAGAUGGGGGCUGAGAAACGGCCCCAGGCCCUACGGGGCGCAGCAGGCGCGAAAACUCCGCAAUACGCGAAAGCGUGACGGGGGGACCCCAAGUGUCAUGCCUUCGGGUAUGACUUUUGCAGAGUAGGUACAGCUCUGCGAAUAAGAGCUGGGUAAGACCGGUGCCAGCCGCCGCGGUAACACCGGCAGCUCAAGUGGUGGCCACUAUUAUUGGGCCUAAAGCGUCCGUAGCCUGCUCGGUAAGUCCUUGGGAAAAUCCGCUCGUUCCACGAACGGGACCCUGAGGAUACUGCCGAACUUGGGAACGAGAGAAGUCGGAAGUACUCCUGGGGUAGCGGUGAAAUGCUGUAAUCCU